GUUGCCCGGCGACGCUCCGGCGCUGGGUCCCCGAGGCCCGGCCCCUCCCCGGGAGGAGGUGGGCUUCGAGUCACGUGACCCGUGCGCUACCGGAGGGGGUGCGGUCGGGGACCCGGCAAGAGGCGGCCGAGAAGAGAGGACCGUGGGGGCGUUCGCGUGGCUCCCAGGCCGGGACUCCACCCCCGCUGGACAGUGGGGGGAAACUGAGGCCUGAGUGGAGUGACCACCCCGGCUAUGGCCAGCCAGCCUCCAGGGAGCGCGAGUGCUGCUGACAGGGGCCAACGCUGGUGUUGGUGAGGAGCUGGCCUAUCACUACGCGCGUCUGGGCUCCCACCUGGUGCUCACUGCCCACACUGAGGCUCUCCUGCAGAAGGCAUGGUGGCUCACGCUUGUAGUCAGC
rnacentral:sRNA from 1 species